GAUGAACGCUGGCGGCGUGCUUAACACAUGCAAGUCGAGCGAACAGACGAGGUGCUUGCUCCUCUGACGUUAGAGGCGGACGGGUCAGUAACAUGAGGGUAACCCACCUAUAAGAUUGGGAUAACUUAGUGAAACCGGAGCUAAUACUGGACAAUAUUUCGAACCGCAUGGUUCGAUAGCGAAAGCUGGCUUUGCUAUCAUCUAUAGAUGGACCUGCGCCGUAUUAGCUAGUUGGUACGGUAACGGCUUACCAAGGCAACGAUACGUAGCCGACCUGAGAGGGGGAUCGGCCCCGCUGGAGCUAACACACAGUCCAGACUCGUACGGGAGGCAGCAGUAGGAAGUCUGGCGGAAGGGGCGAAAGCCUGACGAAGCAACGCCGCGUGAGUGAGGAAGGUCUUCGGAUCGUAAAACGCUGUUAGUAUGGAAGAACAAACGUGUAAGUAACAGGGCACGUCUUAACGGUACCGAAGCAGAAGGCCACGGCUAACUACGU
rnacentral:rRNA from 1 species